rnacentral:rRNA from 1 species
AGAGUUUGAUAUGGCUCAGGAUGAACGCUGGCGGCGUGCUUAACACAUGCAAGGUCGAACGGGAAUUACAUUUUAGCUUGCUAAGUGUAAUUCUAGUGGCGGACGGGUGAGUAACGCGUGGGUAACCUGCCUUAUACCGGGGGACAACAGUUGGAAACGACUGCUAAUACCGCAUAAGCGCACAGUAUCGCAUGAUAGAGUGUGAAAAACUCCGGGUGGUAUAAGAUGGACCCCGCGUCUGAUUAGCUAGUUGGCGGUGCAACGGACCACCAAGGCGACGAUCAGUAGCCGGCCUGAGAGGGCAAACGGCCACAUUGGGACUGAGACACGGCCCAAACUCCUACGGGAGGCAGCAGUGGGGAAUAUUGCACAAUGGAGGAAACUCUGAUGCAAGCGACGCCGCGUGAGUGAAGAAGUAUUUCGGUAUGUAAAGCUCUAUCAGCAGGAAAGAAAAUGACGGUACCUGACUAAGAAGCCCCGGCUAACUACGUGCCAGCAGCUGC